UCUGGCAGAGCAAUUAAAGAAACGGAUUUCAGCUUCCUAAUGGAUGGCAUUUGGCUUAUGAAGUAAAAAAGAUAUCCCGCUGGCAGGGCAAUAUUUUGGUUGGCCUCAUUCUCUUCUUUCCUCAAGGCUAUAAGUGAUGUGAUGUAGCAGAAAGGAAUGAUCUGUGGAUGACUAUAUGGCUUGCAAGAGACUGAGUCUGAAAUAUGUAUUGGUCCGUUGAUAUUAAACUUGACAAUAGUCAAUAG